AAGGUAGCCGUACGAGAACGUGCGGCUGGAUCACCUCCUUUCUAGGGAGUAAACAUACGUUUUAAGUUUGCUUAAAGCGGGAUGUUAACGGUCGAUUCUUGAUUUACAGCGUUCGGGAUUGUCUUCCUUUUGCGGGGCGUUUGUUUGCGUGUUGUUUGGUUGUUUUGUGUGCUGAAAUGGUAGUUAUUACGGUGCUAUGGUCAAACAGCUUUAUGUUGGUGUACUAAUGUGGAGUUGCUUGGCUACAGACUAUAUCUUUAAGCGUGCGUAAGUGAGUAGUUGUUUAAGCGGGCCUAUAGC
rnacentral:misc_RNA from 1 species